rnacentral:rRNA from 1 species
GUCGUGGCUUGGGUUUUGCCAGCUGGCGUGAUCUCCUCUAUGAGUAAUCAUGUGAGGUGCCAGAUCUAUGGCGUUUCCCUAAUGUAUCCGGAUGCACCCUUGUCUUGGCAGAAAGCCGUGGUGAGGUGCAGUGGCGGAAUCGUGGUUUAAUAAUCGGGUUGGUACUCAGUUGUCAGUGUGUUUGGCGAUCCCCUAGUCGGCACACUUAUGAUUUCUGGGAUAAUUCCAUACCAGGCACGUUCCGUCACUGUCACUUUGUCAUUGGUUUGAUGCUGAACUUGGUCAUGUGUCUGAUGCUAUUUUCAUAUAGCGACGGUACCCUUCGUGGUCUGUCUUCCUGACCUCGGUUCAGACGUGAUUACCCGCUGAACUUAAGCAUAUCC